rnacentral:rRNA from 1 species
AUUGAACGCUGGCGGCAGGCCUAACACAUGCAAGUCGAACGGUAACAGGAAGCAGCUUGCUGCUUUGCUGACGAGUGGCGGACGGGUGAGUAAUGUCUGGGAAACUGCCCGAUGGAGGGGGAUAACUACUGGAAACGGUAGCUAAUACCGCAUAACGUCGCAAGACCAAAGAGGGGGACCUUAGGGCCUCUUGCCAUCGGAUGUGCCCAGAUGGGAUUAGCUAGUAGGUGGGGUAACGGCUCACCUAGGCGACGAUCCCUAGCUGGUCUGAGAGGAUGACCAGCCACACUGGAACUGAGACACCGUCCAGACUCCUACGGGAGGCAGCAGUGGGGAAUAGUGCACAAUGGGCGCAAGCCUGAUGCAGCCAUGCCGCGUGUAAGAAGAAGGCCUUCGGGUUGUAAAGUACUUUCAGCGGGGAGGAAGGGAGUAAAGUUAAUACCUUUGCUCAUUGACGUUACCCGCAGAAGAAGCACCGGCUAACUCCGUG